rnacentral:rRNA from 1 species
UAACACAUGCAAGUCAAGGAGAACGGGGAUCUUCGGAAUCCCUAGUAAACUGGCGAACGGGUGCGUAACGCGUUGGUGACCUACCCCGAAGUGUGGGAUAACAGUUCGAAAGGACUGCUAAUACCGCAUGUGGUCAUCGGGAUUAGAAGCCUAUGACUAAGGCAGCAAUGCGCUUUGGGAGGGACCUGCGUCCCAUCAGCUCGUUGGUAGGGUAACGGCCUACCAAGGCGACGACGGGUAGGGGACCUGAGAGGGUGAUCCCCCACACUGGCACUGAAACACGGGCCAGACACCUACGGGUGGCAGCAGUGAGGAAUAUUGGGCAAUGGGCGAAAGCCUGACCCAGCAACGCCGCGUGCGCGAUGAAGGUCUUCGGAUCGUAAAGCGCUUUUCUGAGAGAUGAGAA